AUCACCAAGAUGUGUUGCUGGGUUUCUAUUACUCUACUUCUUAUAACCCACUGGCAAUGUUGCCAGGCUCAGAGUUUGAAUCAGCCUUCGUCACUGAUUGUUUCCGUGGGACAGAAAGCUGAAAUCACAUGUACAGGCAGUGUCACUGGUAACUGGCUUGGUUGGUACCAGCAGAAGCCUGGGAACUCCCCACAGUACCUUGGGUACGACAGCAGCCGAACCUCUGGAAUCCCUGAUCGUUUCUCUUUGACCAAAGACAGCUCGGCUAAAAUAGCUAAAUUAACCAUCUCUGGUGUUCAGGCAGUGGAUGAUGCUAAUUAUUACUGUAACACAUGGGUCAGUGGCUCUAACAUAUACACAGUGAUACAGUAA